UCUUGCGCAAUGGCCUAACGGCUGACGCAGCGACGCCGCGUGUGGGAUGACGCCUUUCGGGGUGUAAACCACUGUUGCCCGGGACGAACAGCCUUUUUCGAGAGGCCUGACGGUACCGGGUGAGGAAGCACCGGCUAACUCCGUGCCAGCAGCCGCGGUAAUACGGAGGGUGCGAGCGUUGUCCGGAAUCACUGGGCGUAAAGGGCGCGUAGGCGGCUGGGGAAGUCGGUGGUGAAAGCUCGUGGCUCAACUGCGAGUCGGCCAUUGAUACUCCUUGGCUGGAGCACUGUAGAGGCAGGUGGAAUUCCGGGUGUAGCGGUGGAAUGCGUAGAGAUCCGGAAGAACACCGGUGGCGAAGGCGGCCUGCUGGGCAGUAGCUGACGCUGAGGCGCGACAGCGUGGGGAGCAAACA
rnacentral:rRNA from 1 species